rnacentral:rRNA from 1 species
AGAGUUUGAUCCUGGCUCAGGACGAACGCUGGCGGCGUGGAUUAGGCAUGCAAGUCGAACGCGAACGAAAGUCUUCGGAUUUUCAAGUAGAGUGGCGAACGGGUGAGUAACGCGUAGAUAAUCUAUCCAUAAGUGGGGGAUAGCCUCGGGAAACCGAGAUUAAUACCGCAUGUGUUCCUUAAUAUUAAUUAUUUUGGAAUAAAGGUGGCCUCUGUUAACAAGCUAUUGCUUAUGGGUGAGUCUGCGUCCUAUUAGUUAGUUGGUUGGGUAAUGGCUGACCAAGGCGAUGAUAGGUAGGCGGCCUUAACGGGUGGUCGCCCACACUGGGAUUGAGAUACGGCCCAGACUCCUACGGGAGGCAGCAGUCGAGAAUCGUCUACAAUGGGGGAAACCCUGAUAGUGCGACGCCGCGUGGAUGAAGAAGCAUUUCGGUGUGUAAAAUCCUUUUCUUUGUGAGCAAUGCUAUUAUGUUUAAGAGAUAUAAUAGAGAGAUAUUAGCAGAGGAAUAAGCUCCGGCUAACUCCGUGCCAGCAGCCGCGGUAAUACGGGGGGAGCGAGCGUUACUCGGAAUCACUGGGCGUAAAGGGUGCGUAGGCGGUCAGAUAAGUUGGGAGUGAAAUCCUAUGGCUCAACCAUAGAACUGCUUCCAAAACUGUCUGACUAGAGUUCGGGAGAGGCCAAGGGAAUUCCUGGUGUAGGGGUGAAAUCCGUAGAGAUCAGGAGGAAUGCCGAAAGCGAAGGCGCUUGGCUGGAACGUUACUGACGCUGAGGCACGAAAGCGUGGGGAGCAAACAGGAUUAGAUACCCUGGUAGUCCACGCCCUAAACG